UACAGAGGUCUCAAGCGUUGUUCGGAUUCAUUGGGCGUAAAGGGUGCGUAGGCGGCGCGGUAAGUCGGGUGUGAAAUCUCGGGGCUUAACUCCGAAACUGCAUUCGAUACUGCCGUGCUUGAGGACUGGAGAGGAGACUGGAAUUCAUGGUGUAGCAGUGAAAUACGUAGAGAUCAUGAGGAAGACCAGUGGCGAAGGCGGGUCUCUGGACAGUUCCUGACACUGAGGCACGAAGGCCAGGGGAGCAAACGGG
rnacentral:rRNA from 1 species